rnacentral:rRNA from 1 species
CUCUACGGGAGGCAGCAGUGGGGAAUUUUCCGCAAUGGGCGAAAGCCUGACGGAGCAAUACCGCGUGGGGGAGGAAGGCUCUUGGGUCGUAAACCUCUUUUCUCAGGGAAGAAUAAAAUGACGGUACCUGAGGAAUCAGCAUCGGCUAACUCCGUGCCAGCACCCGCGGUAAUACGGAGGAUGCAAGCGCUAUCCGGAAUGAUUGGGCGUAAAGCGUCCGCAGGUGGCAGUGUAAGUCUGCUGUCAAAGGUCAGGGCUUAACCCUGAACAGGCAGUGGAAACUACACAGCUAGAGUGCGGUGGGGGCAGAGGGAAUUCCCAGUGUAGCGGUGAAAUGCGUAGAGAUUGGGAAGAACACCGGUGGCGAAAGCGCUCUGCUAGGCCGUAACUGACACUCAUGGACGAAAGCUAGGGGAGCGAAUGGGAUUAGAUACCCCAGUAGUCCUAGCCGUAAACGAUGGAUACUAGGCGUAGCUCGUAUCGACCCGAGCUGUGCCGUAGCUAACGCGUUAAGUAUCCCGCCUGGGGAGUACGCUCGCAAGAGUGAAACUCAAAGGAAUUGACGG